rnacentral:rRNA from 1 species
GACGAACGCUGGCGGCGUGCUUAACACAUGCAAGUCGAACGGAAAGGCCCUGCUUUUGUGGGGUGCUCGAGUGGCGAACGGGUGAGUAACACGUGAGUAACCUGCCCUUGACUUUGGGAUAACUUCAGGAAACUGGGGCUAAUACCGGAUAGGAGCUCCUGCUGCAUGGUGGGGGUUGGAAAGUUUCGGCGGUUGGGGAUGGACUCGCGGCUUAUCAGCUUGUUGGCGGGGUAGUGGCUUACCAAGGCUUUGACGGGUAGCCGGCCUGAGAGGGUGACCGGCCACAUUGGGACUGAGAUACGGCCCAGACUCCUACGGGAGGCAGCAGUGGGGAAUAUUGCACAAUGGGCGGAAGCCUGAUGCAGCAACGCCGCGUGCGGGAUGACGGCCUUCGGGUUGUAAACCGCUUUCGCCUGUGACGAAGCGUGAGUGACGGUAAUGGGUAAGGAAGCACCGGCUAACUACGUG